rnacentral:rRNA from 1 species
UACAGAGGAUGCAAGCGUUAUCCGGAAUGAUUGGGCGUAAAGCGUCUGUAGGUGGCUUUUUAAGUCCGCCGUCAAAUCCCAGGGCUCAACUCUGGACAGGCGGUGGAAACUACCAAGCUGGAGUACGGUAGGGGCAGAGGGAAUUUCCGGUGGAGCGGUGAAAUGCGUAGAGAUCGGCAGGAACACCCAGGGGGAAACCAGUCGACUGGGCAUCUACUGACGCUGAGGUGCGAGAGCGUGGGGAGCGAACCGG